CUGUCUGUGCAGUUCUGUGUGUCUGUGUCUCACUGUCUCUGCAGUUCUGUGCGUGUAUGUGUCUCACUGUCUGUGCAGUUCUGUUUGUCUGCAUGUCUGUGUGUCUGUGUCUCACUGUCUGUGCAGUUGUGUGUGUGUGUGUGUGUCUGUCUCAUUGUGCAGUUCUUUCUGUGUGUGUGUGUGUGUGUGUGUGUCUGUCUCACUGUGCAGUUUUGUAUGUGUGUGUGUCUGUGUCACUGCCAGUUGUGUAGGUGCCAGGUGAGACAUCCCAAUAC